CAUUAGAUGACUGAAAAGCAAGUAAUGGUCUCUUAAACCAAAAUAUAGUAAAUUAGUAAUUACUUUUAAUGA
rnacentral:tRNA from 1 species